rnacentral:rRNA from 1 species
UAGCUGGUCUGAGAGGAUGGUCAGCCACACUGGGACUGAGACACGGCCCAGAGUCCUACGGGAUGCAGCAGUCAGGAAUAUUGCGCAAUGGAGGAAACUCUGACGCAGCGACGCCGCGUGGGUGAUGAAGGCCUUCGGGUCGUAAAGCCCUGUCGGAGGGGAAGAAAGGUUCGCUGGCUAAUAUCCAGCGGACUUCUGACGGUACCCUCAAAGGAAGCACCGGCUAACUCCGUGCCAGCAGCCGCGGUAAGACGGAGGGUGCGAGCGUUGUUCGGAUUGACUGGGCGUAAAGGGCGUGUAGGCGGCCGAUCAAGUCCGGUGUGAAAGCCCGGGGCUCACCCCCGGAAGUGCAUCGGAAACUAGUCGGCUUGAGCGCGAUAGAGGAGGGUGGAAUUCCUGGUGUAGCGGUGAAAUGCGUAGAUAUCAGGAGGAACAUCGGCGGCGAAGGCGGCCCUCUGGCUCGUUGCUGACGCUGAGACGCGAAAGCG